CGUCCCCCGUUCUCAUCCUUAACACUCUCUCCCAGCUCUCCGACCACUCUCCACAACCUCUGUUUCCAUAUCCCCACUCUCCAACCACCGUUAACUCAUCGUCUCCGUUAUCAUCACUCUCUCUUUCAUCUACGUAAUACUUUACAAACUUCCCUCUCGUAACUCCGUCAUCUUCAAAAACAGAUGAAAAUGUAGCUGGGCUUGCAGAUGAUGGUGGUGGUGAC
rnacentral:misc_RNA from 1 species